rnacentral:misc_RNA from 1 species
ACGAGAAUAUGAAAUAUGUAAAGUAGAUAUAUUUGCCGUGGAAAUCGACCCGUGGAAUGGAUAAUCGCUUGUUGGAACGAUGACGAUUGAACGAAAUAUUGGAUAUGCUUCUAUUUUGCGCUUGUCUGAAUACAUAUGCAUAUUUCACUGGCUUACCGCCUGACUACGACCGGGCUGCUCUACUUAGCAGAUGUGCGAACUUUGCUUAACCAUCUGGGACCUGUUACUGUCAAGAACGUCUAACCAUAAUUAGCAGCAUAUGGAGGCCACCAAGCAUCUAAUUACGGAGUCAUAACGUAGAUAAACAUGAUGUUAGGCCACCUGUGGUGCUAUUGUACUUGUAUGCCACUGUAAACUCUAGGAACAUUUGCAUUGACCCACGAAUAAUAGAUAGAGUUAUCUAAUUU